rnacentral:tRNA from 1 species
AUCGAAGUGGUCAUAACGGGGCUGACUCGAAAUCAGUUUGGGAGCAAUCCCACGAGGGUUCGAAUCCCUCC